rnacentral:rRNA from 1 species
UACGUAGGGUGCGAGCGUUAAUCGGAAUUACUGGGCGUAAAGCGUGCGCAGGCGGCUGCUCAAGUCAGGUGUGAAAUCCCCGGGCUUAACCUGGGAAUUGCGCUUGAAACUGGGUGGCUAGAGUGCGGCAGAGGGAGGUGGAAUUCCUGGUGUAGCAGUGAAAUGCGUAGAUAUCAGGAGGAACACCGAUGGCGAAGGCAGCCUCCUGGGCUGACACUGACGCUCAUGCACGAAAGCGUGGGGAGCAAACAGG